rnacentral:rRNA from 1 species
GAUGAACGCUGGCGGCGUGCCUAAUACAUGCAAGUCGAGCGAACAGACGAGGAGCUUGCUCCUCUGACGUUAGCGGCGGACGGGUGAGUAACACGUGGAUAACCUACCUAUAAGACUGGGAUAACUUCGGGAAACCGGAGCUAAUACCGGAUAAUAUAUUGAACCGCAUGGUUCAAUAGUGAAAGACGGUUUUGCUGUCACUUAUAGAUGGAUCCGCGCCGCAUUAGCUAGUUGGUAAGGUAACGGCUUACCAAGGCAACGAUGCGUAGCCGACCUGAGAGGGGGAUCGGCCACCCUGGAACUGAGACACGGUCCAGCCUCCUACGGAAGGCAGCGGUAGGGAAUCUUCCGCAAUGGGCGAAAGCCUGACGGAGCAACGCCGCGUGGUUGAUGAAGGUCUUCGGAUCGUAAACUCUGUUAUUAGGGAAGAACAAAUGUGUAAGUAACUAUGCACGUCUUGACGGUACCUAAUCAGAAAGCCACGGCUAACUACGUG